AGGGUGUAAACGCUGCAGACUUGGUGUUGGAGGCCCUUUGGGGGCAUUCAGUGCCGGAGAGAAGUUGUUAAGUCUGCUACUUGGGGAGUACGUCCGCAAGGAUGAAACUUAAAGGAAUUGGCGGGGGAGCACCGCAACGGGAGGAGCGUGCGGUUUAAUUGGAUUCAACACCGUAAAACUCACCAGGGAAGACUGUUACAUGAAGGCCGAGAUGAAGACUCUGCUAGAUUUUCAGAGGAGGUGCAUGGCGUCAGUGACU
rnacentral:rRNA from 1 species